GGGUGGUAAUGCCGGAUGCUCCAGUUGAUCGCAUGGUCUUCUGGGAAAGCUUUCGCGGUAUGGGAUGGGGUCGCGUCCUAUCAGCUUGACGGCGGGGUAACGGCCCACCGUGGCUUCGACGGGUAGCCGGCCUGAGAGGGCGACCGGCCACAUUGGGACUGAGAUACGGCCCAGACUCCUACGGGAGGCAGCAGUGGGGAAUAUUGCACAAUGGGCGCAAGCCUGAUGCAGCGACGCCGCGUGAGGGAUGGAGGCCUUCGGGUUGUAAACCUCUUUUAUCGGGGAGCAAGCGAGAGUGAGUUUACCCGUUGAAUAAGCACCGGCUAACUACGUGCCAGCAGCCGCGGUAAUACGUAGGGUGCAAGCGUUAUCCGGAAUUAUUGGGCGUAAAGGGCUCGUAGGCGGUUCGUCGCGUCCGGUGUGAAAGUCCAUCGCUUAACGGUGGAUCCGCGCCGGGUACGGGCGGGCUUGAGUGCGGUAGGGGAGACUGGAAUUCCCGGUGUAACGGUGGAAUGUGUAGAUAUCGGGAAAGAAACACCA
rnacentral:rRNA from 1 species